rnacentral:rRNA from 1 species
AUACGGAGGGUGCAAGCGUUAAUCGGAAUUACUGGGCGUAAAGCGUACGUAGGCGGUUUAUUAAGUCAGAUGUGAAAGCCCCGGGCUUAACCUGGGAACUGCAUUUGAAACUAGUAGACUAGAGUAUGGUAGAGGGGGGUAGAAUUCCUAGUGUAGCGGUGAAAUGCGUAGAUAUUAGGAGGAAUACCAGUGGCGAAGGCGGCCCCCUGGACCAAUACUGACGCUGAGGUACGAAAGCGUGGGGAGCGAACAGGAUUAGAUACCCCGGUAGUCC